rnacentral:lncRNA from 1 species
UGGAGUUUCAGGCAAAUUACUAUUGUCUGGCAUGAAAAAUGGAUGAAAUCCUGGAUGACAGAUGAGAGCAGAAGCUUGAGAGGGACUGUAAACCAUCAAGAGCUUGAUAGCAGCUAAAGAUAAUUAAUUCUGUUAGAAACUAAUAAAUAAAGAUAGCAAUAUGUUGCAUUAUGCUUAGCAUGUCUGGUACCGCAAAACCGAGAAUCAGAGAAAAAAUGAAGUAUGAGUCAGCAGUCCUAGGUGGAAAAGUCACCCCAAAAGGUGACUCUGAAUUGCUUUUUUCAUGAAAUCAAGUGCUGCAUUAGACCUAAUCGCUGGCCUUCAGCUCACAACUAUGCGGUCAUCGCUGGCGGGGAAAGGUGGAUUAUCAGCUUUCAGUUGGUUAAGAGUCAGGCGGCACCCACACGGUGAAGUGGGUCAAUAUUUGGACAAUCGAUUUUCUCCCUCUCCCUCAGUCUUCAGAUGUUAAAGGGCCAGGAAGAGGGCAGAAGGCGACUGCAAGUGAAGGCCAACAGAAAAGAACAAGGGCACCAACGUGAGAUCAAAAGAAUCACCCGGGUUAUAUGAAGAAUGAGACCCCUGGACUCUGCCUCAGAACCAUGGAAUCAGAAUUUCCACGUUUUCCAGGUAUCCCAGUUAAGCCAUAGGAGCAGGAAAGUUUGGGAAACAGGAAAGUUAAAGGAAGACACAUCUGGGAGUUUUGCUGGUGCUUGAGUUGAGCUGAUGAGGAAGCCUCGGUUAAUGUGUUUAAGACCAAUGUUGUAACCUUGGCAGAAUCCUGUCAAGAGCCCAUAGGGCCACCAGGGUAUGUGGGAAGGAGGGGUGGGCAGCAGGGAGAGGAUGGCUUUGCAGGAAGGGGCUAAAAUAAUUCAAAGAAAUAGGGAGCUGCCAUGUUUAGUCACAAAGCCACCCUCUUAUUCAUGUAGGUGCCCAACACUCCGCUUUCAUUUCUUCUGGGUUUCUACGAAGUUGCACCCCGACUCCAGGGGUCAAACUACCCGCCUGGCUGAAUCCCCCAGGGAUGAAGGAGGCUGUUGGAAGGACGGCCCUCAAAGAUCCAAGGACAAGCAGCGCAGUGAAACCCUUGGCUUCCCUCUCUUCUCAUCACACAUGUCGGUCUCGUCUCUAGUGUGAUUCUGGGUCUGCAUCAUUCUGGGUCGAGGGUGCUGCACCAUACCACAGCCCACACAGAUGUAAACAUCACACUCCUCCAUAUCUGUACCUCUUUCUCCUCCUGCCCAUGAUAAGUCUUCCAUGGAUUCCAGAGCCAAAUCUCUACCAAAAUAUUAACCUGGGAAUCCAAGAGAGACAGCCCACAAUUCUCUACUGGGAUAAUAGCGACUUUACCUGUAUGCACUGGAAACGUUAAAAUGAGUUUCUUUGGUGUCUGUAACUAGUCUCUUUUCAAGACACAUUAUCUAAAAUCCACCACCUCUAAUCCUCCGGCUUCAGGGGAGCAUGUGAACAGAUGGCUUUACAAUGGGAAGAUCUGAGAGGUAAACAAGGAGGCCAGACCAAAAUACUUCUGGUUUUACUUUAAUACAAAGGCAAAUAAAAUUCCAUAGACUAAAGUUAAGUGGGGAAAGCACAAGCAGAUUCAAAGGAUUUUCCUCAAACCUUCCGUCCACAGUCUGUUCCCACCUGACUCCUUGUUGGCAGGAUUUUCCCUCACGACACGUCUCACACGUCUGCUCUUACGAAAGGAAAGGGGAAGACAAUACCCACCUAAUGUUUUUCCCUCUGAUGUAUUUUUUAAUUAAUAUUUUGUGAUUGUCUCGUUACAAGUGCAGUAUAUACUCACCAGAAAACACAGCAAAAAAAUAACAUUUCUGGACAUCAACAGUCC